rnacentral:rRNA from 1 species
GACGGAGGGUGCAAGCGUUGUUCGGAUUGACUGGGCGUAAAGGGCGUGUAGGCGGUUGGUCAAGUCUGGUGUGAAAGCCCGGGGCUUAACCCCGGAAGUGCGCUGGAAACUAGCCAGCUAGAGCGCGAGAGAGGAGGGUGGAAGUUCCUGGUGUAGCGGUGAAAUGCGUAGAUAUCAGGAGGAACACCGGCGGCGAAGGCGGCCCUCUGGCUCGUUGCUGACGCUGAAACGCGAAAGCGUGGGGAGCAAACAGG